rnacentral:rRNA from 1 species
AUUCCAAUCGAACCCGGAGAUAGCUGGUUCUCCCCGAAAUAGCUUUAGGGCUAGCCUUAGGAGAAUAAGUAUUGGGGGUAGAGCACUGACUGGGCUAGGGGCCCAACCAGGUUACCGAACCCUAUCAAACUCCGAAUACCAAUACUUUGACCUAGGAGUCAGACUGUGGGGGAUAAGCCUCAUAGUCGAGAGGGAAACAGCCCAGACCGACAGCUAAGGUCCCCAAGUACGGACUAAGUGUAGAAGGAUGUGGAAUUGCACAGACAGCCAGGAUGUUGGCUUAGAAGCAGCCAUACAUUUAAAGAGUGCGUAAUAGCUCACUGGUCGAGUGGUUCUGCGCCAAAAAUGUAACGGGGCUAAGUCCGUCACCGAAGCUUCGGAAGUAAGUGUAAGCACUUACUUGGUAGGGGAGCGUUGCCUGCGCCUUGAAGCGGUACCGUAAGGAGCCGUGGAGUGCAGGGAAGUGAGAAUGCCGGUAUGAGUAGCGAGAGAGAGGUGAGAAUCCUCUCCGCCGAAAGCCUAAGGAUUCCUGAGGAAGGUUCGUCCGCUCAGGGUAAGUCGGGACCUAAGCCGAGGCAGAAAUGCGUAGGCGAUGGACAACGGGUUGAGAAUCCCGUACCACCAUUACACCGAUUGAGUGAUGGGGUGACGCAGGUGGGUAGGUCAUCACACAGAUGGAAUAGUGUGUCUAAGCGAGUAGGGAGUGAGGUAGGCAAAUCCGCCUCACAAGGAACCCGAGACGCGAAUGGGAGCGAAAUUAAGUAGCGAACUGACUGACCCCGAACUGCCAAGAAAAGCCUCUAGCGAGGAGUAAAGGUGCCCGUACCGCAAACCGACACAGGUAGGCGAGGAGAGUAUCCUAAGGCGAACGAGAGAACCCCUGUUAAGGAACUCGGCAAAAUGACUCCGUAACUUCGGGAGAAGGAGUGCCUGUAUGCUGUAAGCUAGGAAGCAAAGCGAGCAGGAACAGGUUGCAGAUGAGAGGCCCAAGCGACUGUUUACCAAAAACACAGGUCUCUGCUAAGUGGGAACACGAAGUAUAGGGACUGACGCCUGCCCAAUGCCGGAAGGUUAAGGGGAAGAGUAAUCCUUCGGGAGAAGCUUAGAACCGAAGCCCCGGUCAAUGGCGGCCGUAACUAUAACGGUCCUAAGGUAGCGAAAUUCCUUGUCGGGUAAGUU